AGUGAACGCUGGCGGUAGGCCUAACACAUGCAAUUCGAACGGCAGCACAGGAGAGCUUGCUCUCUGGGUGGCGAGUGGCGGACGGGUGAGGAAUACAUCGGAAUCUACUUUUUCGUGGGGGGUAACGUAGGGAAACUUACGCUAAUACCGCAUACGACCUACGGGUGAAAGCAGGGGACCUUCGGACCUUGCGCGAUUGAAUGAGCCGAUGUCGGAUUAGCUAGUUGGCGGGGUAAAGGCCCACCAAGGCGACGAUCCGUAGCUGGUCUGAGAGGAUGAUCAGCCACACUGGAACGAGGACACUGUCCAGACCCCUACGGGAGGCAGCAGUGGGAAUAUUGGACAAUGGGCGCAAGCCUGAUCCAGCCAUACCGCGUGGGUGAAGAAGGCCUUCGGGUUGUAAAGCCCUUUUGUUGGGAAAGAAAUCCAUCUGGUUAAUACCCGGGUGGGAUGACGGUACCCAAAGAAUAAGCACCGGCUAACUCCGUGCCAGCAGCCGCCGUAA
rnacentral:rRNA from 1 species